AAAUUACUGGAAUAUAUGUCAAUCUAUUUUAAAUUCAACCGACAAUUUGUAUACGGGAAUCGUAGUCUAUUGGUCAAUGAUAAGCCUUAGUGUUCAAUUAGGACAUAUUUUGGACCUCAGAUAGCCAAAGCAAGAUACCCACCUGAGUGAUCUCGGGACUUGAAUUUGAGUAGAGACGAUAUUCUGGUUUUUUA
rnacentral:other from 2 species